rnacentral:piRNA from 1 species
UAGCAGACCUGACCUUCAGGACCAGCC